AUUGCAGGAGGCCUCAACCAAGGCAGGACCCCAUUGAGACACAUCUAUCCAAUCAAUAAAAGAAAUUGAGCAACCUAUCUGGCAAGUAAAAAGCUCAACCGACUUUGGGGUUCUUCAGCAAUCCUACAAAUGGUCAUCGAGCAAUUCAAAAGAAGAUUCAGGGAUUGGAAGGCAAAGUUUGAGAACAGUCCAAGUUAAUACAUAAUAUUACCGAUCA